rnacentral:tRNA from 1 species
GAGGGUAUGGCUCAGUGGUAGAGCGCAUGCUUAGCACGCACGAGGUCCUGGGUUCAAUCCCCAGCACUGCCA